UACGGAGGGGGCUAGCGUUGUUCGGAAUUACUGGGCGUAAAGCGCGCGUAGGCGGAUUGGAAAGUCAGAGGUGAAAUCCCAGGGCUCAACCCUGGAACUGCCUUUGAACCUCCCAGUCUUGAGGUCGAGAGAGGUGAGUGGAAUUCCGAGUGUAGAGGUGAAAUUCGUAGAUAUUCGGAGGAACACCAGUGGCGAAGGCGGCUCACUGGCUCGAUACUGACGCUGAGGUGCGAAAGCGUGGGGAGCAAACAGG
rnacentral:rRNA from 1 species